rnacentral:rRNA from 1 species
UGGGGAAUAUUGGACAAUGGGCGCAAGCCUGAUCCAGCCAUGCCGCGUGAGUGAUGAAGGCCUUAGGGUUGUAAAGCUCUUUCAUCAGGGACGAUAAUGACGGUACCUGAAGAAGAAGCCCCGGCUAACUACGUGCCAGCAGCCGCGGUAAUACGAAGGGGGCUAGCGUUGUUCGGAUUUACUGGGCGUAAAGGGUGCGUAGGCGGAUUUUUAAGUCAGGGGUGAAAUCCCAAGGCUCAACCUUGGAACUGCCUUUGAUACUGGGAAUCUUGAGUCCGGGAGAGGUGAGUGGAACUGCGAGUGUAGAGGUGAAAUUCGUAGAUAUUCGCAAGAACACCAGUGGCGAAGGCGGCUCACUGGCCCGGAACUGACGCUGAGGCACGAAAGCGUGGGGAGCAAAC